CGGGGCGUAGCGCAGCCUGGUAGCGCACUUGACUGGGGGUCAAGUGGUCGCUGGUUCGAAUCCAGUCGCCCCGACCA
rnacentral:tRNA from 1 species